GCUUUCUAAUGGUUUAUUAUUGACCUAACUUUGCAGCUCCCCUAGAUCCCCUAACUCCACCAUCUUGGGUUGCAACCAAUGACCUGUUAUUACAAAACAGUUCAUGGAACCAUUGUUGUUGACUCUAAAGAGAAGAGAAAAGUGCUCAAGUAUCUUCACAGGAAGGCCAUUUAGAUGGUGAGUCUUUGAGUCAUGGAUCUCUCUUUAAAAAUUCUACCAAGAAACACAGACACCAAAUUUUGCAUGCAAUUUCAGGGAUUUACGGACCCCAGCUUGACCUGUCAGCCUCGCAGGAAAACUAGUGGUGGGAUUUCAUUUCCAUUCUACCAAAUGAAUUUCAGUUGAUUAAAAAAUGACCAAUUGUUACACUCGAUAGAU